UCCCUGGUGGCUCAGAGGUUAAAGCGUCUGCCUCCAAUGCAGGAGACCCAGGUUCAAUUCUUAGGUCGGGAA
rnacentral:tRNA from 1 species